ACUAAUUUGGCAGAAAAGUGCUUUAAAUUUAGGAUUUAAUAAUGUAUAUUUACAGUUAGUA
rnacentral:tRNA from 1 species